CAGAAUAGGGCAGUCCCUUGAAAUUCUGCAAUGCAAAUUCAAUUGCAUGCCCCAAUUCCUAUCACUUUAUAAAAUAUUGCAGCGAUGUUCACUCUUUCUCCGUAACUGGUUACUUAUUAUUAGAGGAGACUAAAAACUUGUGAUAAUUAACUUUCCCAGUUCUGUUUAAACCAGUGCAGUCUGACUAUGUAGUAGCAGUAAACUAAGAAAUUGAGCUCCUAACUGCUCGAGUUUAUGUAUGGCAAUUUAAUUAUUUUUUAUUUACAAAAUCUGGUCUAAGAGUGUGCCAGUUGCUUGCAAAUCUUUGGGAAGGACCAUUCAGUUCCCAUGAUCUGAUGUUAGCAUUCAGAUUUAAAAGAACCAUAAACCAUAACUGGGCUAGGAACAAAAUCAAGAUUUCCAAGGUCUUCUCAAGAAGAAGGACUGCAAUGUUAAAAAUGUACGUAAAGACAGCUGAGUGAAGGUAACCUGGUUUCCACAACGCUAAAGGUGCUAGUUCCUGCUUUUGUUCCCACAGGAUCCUCCCACCAUGAAGGUAAGUACCAUGAAUCACCAAUUGCUAAUUCACAUCAUCCUAGCAGAUGUAUAUAUCUGAAGUGUUAUGGACAUCUCAGAUGCAAUGACCAGUUAGGAUGGUCCAUCCUCCAUGGGAGAAUCAGCAUUUUCUCUAUCACAGUCAUUAGAACUGGACUGCCAGAGAUUGAUGCUGGUGUAAGGUUCAGGCCCUUUAUGAAGUUCACUGUCUUGUGUUACAAGUAGCUGUCAUACACCAACUUUAAGAUCCCUGAAAACUUGUGACAUGGAACAAUGAGCUCCAUAAAGGACAUGAACCUCAUAAGAUCAAGAUGAAUGGUUGGUAGUUCAGCACGAGGAGCUCAACAUCAAGGUGGCUGAUGUAUGGUGAUGCUGGAAAUUGAUGCCUCUACUCCAUGUUCUAGAUGACCGCCUAUGCAAGAUUUUGAUUCUUAGUCUAGGGAAGCUGACAUGCUGUUCUUGCCUGUGUUUCAAGGAGCAUAACAUUUCUGUUGCCUUAUUGGCAUGGUCUUAACAGAUUUCUGUCAGCGUGCUGUGAACUGGUUCCUUCUAUCUGACAUCUGAUACAGCUGAUAACUCCAACAUCCUCAAAACACUUUGUUUCUUAGAAGGUGAUGAAGAGAUUCCAUUGGCUAAGCCUGGGAUUCCCUCAGCAAUACAGGAGGUGGAGGAUCUGCUAGCAUUUUCCUUCCAGCUGUUCAUCUUCAUCUACAUUGUUCACCAUGGAAUAAAUAUAAUUGAUGUUACUAUCCAUGCAGGUUCUAGAACUAACAGGGCUGUGGACAUAUAUACUGCCUGAUGCACAAGGGCUACUGCACUACUGAGUGGUCAGGGAAUGUCAACAUUACAGCUAUGUAACUGCCAUUUGGUCAUCCACUCUAAGUGGGCUGGCUCCCAUUGUUAGCAGUUUCACAACUGGGGGUCCAAUAUAAGGACUGUGCCAUCAAUUGCUUUCUGGUCCUCUUAGAUGUGCCUUGACCAUACCAUGAACUACCUUUGUAAAUUGAAGUGUUAAACUGGGGACAGGCAAAGUGUGGCCUGCAGGCUGCAUGUAGCCCCCAUGCCAUUUUUGUGGCAUCCAGGGAUCAAGAAAUCCUCCCCCCCCCCCCAAUACACCCAAUUGCACUCUAGGGGGUGUAUAGUGCAUUUCCAUCAGUUCUUCGUGUCACUGGGUUCAGAAAAAAUGUUUAUAAAAUAAAAUAUUUUUUGUGCACAAAUGCUUACACACAUGGAGAGCAGGGGGAAGUGAGAGCAUGAUAAUGAUGCAAGGAGAGGGUAGUGCCCACAGGAGGUUCAGGAGGAACAUGGUUCCCACCACUGACAUUACUCAUCCCUGCUUUUCAGAGACCAAAAAUGAACGAAGUAUCAGAAAAGAGAUUUUUUAAACCUCACAACCCCUUCCCCAAUGCACCCUUAGUCCUUUGAUAAGACCUACCUUACAAUUCAACUACUCUUCUCUUCUAUCCCUCCUCAAUGGCUUCUACCUCCAGUGUCAAAAAGAGAAAUAAAACUUAAAAGAUUCUUUUUGAGGAAAAAUGCAAUCUAGUUUUUCUGAAGCCUAAAUUGCCAAUGGGUAUUUGUGGAACAUCGAAGUCUAUUUUUUUUCUGGAGGGAAGCCCAUUGGAGACACCAGGAUUGGUCUCAAAUGGCCUAAUUUUGCCAAGGAUUAAGUCAAAUGCAACUCACAUAUCCGUAAGCUUAUUGGGCUAUUGGCCGAGAAGGUUAGAGGUUACUGUCCAGCACUUUUGAGGACACAAGAAUAUGGAAGGCUAGGACCUAAAUACCCAAAAGGCACCAGAUCCUGUCUGCUCUUGGAAGUUAAGCAGAGUUAUCCGUGGUUAGUACUUCAAUGGGAGACUGCCAAUAAAUACCAGGUGCUGUAGGCCAUAUUUCAAAGGAAGGAACUGUCAAAGCCACCUUUGUGUAUUCCUUAUCUAAGAAAACUAAAAAAAUUCACAGGUUGACAAGUGAUUUGAAAGCACAUCCAUACACAGUUUAAUCUCUGCACCCUGCACCAACCCAUCAUCAAUUUGGAAACCCAUCAGUUUUUGGAGUGAUGUCUAUUCACUGCUUCCAAUCAUGCUUCUGUCCUAAGCUUUAAUAAAUCUCAAAUGUUGCCUGGAGAGAUGUUUUAGAACUAUCAAGUGCUACCCUUGUGAUAAAAUUAUUGGCAUAGUCAUAACAUAAAACUGAAGAACCAUUUCAUAAAUUAUAUUUAUAUAUAAAAAAAGAGCAAGAAGUAGAAGUUCAUGGACACCUAUCACAAAAGUUCCAUAGCUAAAAUUAGGGCCAACUAGUUUUAUUAAAAUCAAAUAGACACGAAGACCCCAGAGAAAAUAUAUGAGACAAUACAUCUACUCUUAGGGCGUAUCUACACUGCUCAUAUUAGCCCUGUAGGUUGGUUGUCUUCUCAGAACAGUCCCACUCUCAACAUUUACUACAUUAGCCCCACUGAGCUGCAACCUCCUCUGUGUUGUUACCCCUCCUAGUUGACCAUGAAGCUCCUUCACAGCACCUGGUUGUUGUGAUCACCUCUGAAGUUAGCGUGGAAAACCGCAAAACUAGCAGGGGAGAAUCAACGGCUCUUCCUUCUUGCUGGUCACAUGGCACCCCAUUUGGAUAUCAUAAAUGCAACAGGUGACAGCCAGGUGCUUGGACAGAGCUCCAUGGCCAAUGGAGCAAUUGCUGAUCAGCACAGGGAAAGGAUGAUAGUGGUGGUGUCCAUCUGGAGAGUGGAUUAAGUCGAAGCCCCAGGAUACUUCAGAGUUUAAAGCAAACCUUGGAAUAUCCCACAAUAUUGCCUAAGCCAAAAAACCUGGGAUACACACUGGAAGCGUCUGUGUAUCAUGAACAUUUCCAGCAAUCAAUUCGUGGUAAGUACAAGGUUUUUGUUCAGACAAGACCUGAAUCAAAUGGCAUUGUGUUUACAGCACCUCAGUAAGCUUAUUCUUCUGAGAUCUAAAGCUAUUUCAUAGAGCUCUUGUCAGGUCCCUGGCUGCAGAGCACCAAUAACCUUACACAGAGGCCAGUCUCUAUCUAAUAUCUUUAUUAAAGAAAUAUAUAAAAUCAAUAAAAACAAGUGAAGAAUAUAGUUCAGAAGCAGACCUUUCAGAUGAGGUCAAAUAUAGUCCAGAAAUGUAUUGUCCAAUAUAAGAUAUUAGAGUUCAAAGUUUUAAUCCACUUGACCGAAACACACACUUUGCCAAGCAAUAGUGUGGGGAAAUAACAGAGUCUUAGAGUCCAAUGAAGCUUGACAACAAGGCUGGAAAUAAACUUGAUUCUUGACUAGAUCCGUGACUGGAGACAAGACGAACAUGAAGCAUGAACAGAGUCCGUGGUAAAACCGUGAGACAGGGAAAGGCUUGAAGCUUGAUCCGGGAAGCAAGGAACUGGGAUUACGAAGUCCACACACGAUCUCUCUCCUCAAGCUGAUCAAUUGACUCCGCAAAGAAUCCCUCGCGCCAAACACCUAUAUUGGGUCUCGUUUUCCCGCCAACAGAACUCUUUCCCUAGAGAACGAGAAGCGAAACCCAACUCUGUCCAGAUGCAUGACUCCUUAGAAUUUCCCAAGGGAAGCAGACCUAAUCAGCCAUUUGUUUGGCAGCGAUUCUCAGGCUUCUCCGAUUAGCCUCCCUGACUCCCCUGUCUUUAGAAUAAUUUUCCCUCCUGGGAAACGGAGGGGAGUUCUGCCCAAGGCCUGUUUGGCUGAAUUCUUGAGGGCAAACAUCAACAUCCUGCAGGUGAAGAGACUCCGGCUCUUGCUGAACCGGCGAAAACCCCAUGUUUUCCUCUUCGUCUGCCACAAUAGUACUAGGAACAGGACUACAAGGCCCAUGAGUCAUCACAGCUCUGUUCCUUAUCAGUUCUAGAACAAAUAUUUAUGUUUUAACUAGUUUCACACAGUAUUGACCAAAUAUAUUUUCUUUAUCUUUUAUAUUAUUGGGUGAUAUAUUUAUUUGAGUUUCUCUGAAUGUAUUUUUCAUCCAUUUUAAAAUUAUUCCCUCUCCAAAAUGGUUUGGUGCAUUUUACUUAGCACAUUCAGCAGGUUUUUAAAAAAUAUAAUUUUCUUUCCUGACCUAGAUUUGCUUUUCUAGUUACUUUAUCUUUCCUAUUCUUUCUUAUUUUUUAAACCCACUAUCUCUGUUUCACUCUUGUUCUACCCCUCACUUUAGUUUAAGUGUCUCGGCGUUAGUCUGAAUAUCUCAGCUGUUUCCUCCAUCCAUAUCAUGGCUUCUAUUAUUUUGCUGACUAAAUGGGGCUAUUCUCAAGUAACUGGAUGAUGAACUGGAGCCAAAGUAUCUUUAUCAACUAUGGGAGACUAGUUGUUCGCUAUUUAAAAAGACUCAGAGCUUUAGUUCUCGGCAUUCCAUAUUAUUGUCUACUUCUCACAUUUCUGUAAAAGCAGAUCUUAAAAUAAAACACUAACUUAAUCAAAUGAACAACAAAACCCAAUUCUUUAAGCAAUACCCAAAGGAAAUAUGCCUCAAAGAUACCUUUUUCAAGUAAACUGGAUAUUUCCUCAUAAUUAGCAUGCACAUUGAUUCCAGUUUUCCUACUGUCUUUCAUCUAGUAUUUCCACUUUUUCUUUUAAAAAAUUACCUCCAUAUUUUACCCAUUAUACUUAUUCCUUGACAGUGCCCUGUUUUUUCUGCCUGCAUUUGGGUAGGUGAGAUAGUUCAGGGGAACAAACUUUUGCCUUUUCAAAUAAUUUUGGGAGAUUAAGGACAAUCUUUCGGGGAAAUCUUUUUAGAAACAUGGGGAGUCUUUCAGGUGGUUUCUGCAUGGCACAUUGAGGCAUGUUAUCCUUUCCUACUCUAGCUCAUUUAAUCCUAAAUUUUAUAAGCUGAUGAUUUCUAAAUAGCUGGUCUGGAAAAAGUUGACAAUUUGCAGAAGUUUUUUGGGGGGGUGGGGGGUGGGUGUGGCACUAUCAAUUCCAGAACUCCCAAUCGAAACACCAUUUCAAGCCUUGAUAUUCAGAAUUUGUCCCAAAAUAAUCCAAAAUCUGAAAUGGUCUUCAGGCUAUCUCUAUAAGAUGCAUAUGAAACACAAAUGAUUUUUGUAUUUUGACUUGGGUCUCAUCUCCAAGAUAUGUCAUUAUGUAAGUGUAUCAAAAUACAGGCAUCCCAAAAUCUGAAAAAAUCCAAAAUUCAAAACACAUCUGGUAACAUGCACAGCACACCUUCAGGAACACAAGAUCUACUGCAUUAGACCUCGUGUUUCCACCUUGUAAAUUAAAUCCCCUAUACAGUAGAGUCUCACUUAUCCAACGCUUACUUAUCUAACGUUCUGGAUUAUCCAACGCAUUUUUGUAGUCAAUGUUUUCAAUGCAUUGUGAUAUUUUGGUGCUAAAUUCAUAAAUACAGUAAUUACUACAUAGCAUUACUGCGUAUUGAACUACUUUUUCUGUCAAAUUUGUUGUAUAACAUGAUGUUUUGGUGCUUAAUUUGUAAAAUAAUAACCUAAUUUGAUGUUUAAUAGGCUUUUCCUUAAUCUCUCCUUAUUAUCCAACAUAUUUGCUUAUCCAACUUUUGCCGGGCCAUUUAUGUUGGAUAAGUGCAACUCUAUUAUAGUACCUAUAUUCUCAUACAUAAAUCUUGAAAUUGUAGCCAAAAAUCAACUCAAAAAACUUCGCUUGACUGCUUCAUGGGUAAAUGUGACCACCUUAAAACUCUUAUGAAAGGAACCAUCCCCUUCCCUGAGUAGAGUGGCAAGCUUAGUCCUUCCUGAGAGAACCUUUAAAAAGUACUGAUUUUCUCUGUUCUCUCCACCAUGGCACUGCUUCUGACUUUUUUGAAUAGCUGGAUAAGGAAAUGCCAGGGGUCCCUGAGGUGACCCUGUGGAAUAUCCUUGACUUAUGCACAGGUCAUUUCAAACCCCAUAAUUGUGACACCAAACCAGCCCUCGACAUAUAUAUGCAGUUGACUUAUACAUGAGUAUAUAAAAUGUACCCAAAGCAUUUAUGCUUACAAGGAAGAAUCCUUGGGAUUCUAAGUCUCAAUAUAAUGAUAUUAUUACAGUUGACAAAGAUACACCAAUUAACACUCGCUAAAAGCUUUAGAAAACAUAACAUAGACUUAUUCAGCUAGAGAGAUGUGAAAAUCAGUGGGAUUUAUAUAUUUCCCUGACUUCAUUCUUCAAAAGAAACUGCACAACUUUUAUAAGGCCAACUUAUGCUGGGCUU